ACAUGUCUUUUUGAUUAUAAUUUAAGGUUUAAUCUGCUCAAUGAUUAUUUAAAUUGCCGCAGUAUUUUGACUGUGCAAAGGUAGCAUAAUAAUUAGUUUCUUUAUUGGGAACUGGAAUGAAUGAUUGGACGAGAAAAUUUCUGUCUCUUUAUUAUUUUAAUUGAAUUUUACUUUUAAGUUAAAAGGCUUAAAUUUUAUUAGAGGACGAGAAGACCCUAUAGAGUUUAAUUUUUAUUUAAAUAAUUAUUUUUAGUAUUUAUAUAUAUUAUUUAAAUAAAAAUUUAGUUGGGGUGACUAAAAGAUAAGAAUAACUCUUUUAAUUUUUAUCAAUUAUUUUUGAUUAUAAAAUCUUUAUUUUUAAUUUUAAAAUAAAUUACCUUAGGGAUAACAGCGUAAUUCUUUUUUAAAGUUCUUAUUAAAAGAAGAGUUUGCGACCUCGAUGUUGGAUUAAAAUUAAUUUUAGGUGUAGAAGCUUGAAAAUUAAGUCUGUUCGACUUUUAAAAUUUUACAUGAUCUGAGUUUAAACCGGUGUGAGCCAGGUUGGUUUCUAUCCUUAAUUAUAUAUUAUACUUUA
rnacentral:rRNA from 1 species